AUUGAACGCUGGCGGAAUGCUUUACACAUGCAAGUCGAACGGUAGAGGGGGCAACCCCUCGAGAGUGGCGAACGGGUGAGUAAUAUAUCGGAACGUGCCCAGUCGUGGGGGAUAACGUAGCGAAAGUUAAGCUAAUACCGCAUACGAUCUAAGGAUGAAAGCGGGGGAUCGAAAGACCUCGCGCGAGUGGAGCGGCCGAUAGCAGAUUAGGGAGUUGGGGGGGUAAAGGCUCACCAAGCAAACGAUCUGUAGAUGGUCUGAGAGGAAGAGCAGCCACAAUGGAACUGAGACACGGUCCAGGCUCCCACGGGAGGCAGCAGUGGGGAAUUUUGGACAAUGGACGCAAGUCUGAUCCAGCCAUUCCGCGUGCAGGAUGAAGGCCCUCGGGUUGUAAACUGCUUUUGUACGGAACGAAAAGGUCUCUCUUAAUACGGGGGACUCAUGACGGUACCGUAAGAAUAAGCACCGGCUAACUACGUGCCAGCCGCCGCAGUAACAC
rnacentral:rRNA from 1 species